GGCUCCACUUAAGCGAGAGUCCACUGGAGGAUGACAUGCUGACAUGGUCACAGCCAGUAGAAUUCUAGAGGGAAAGCAUUUGGAGCCUAUGCCAUUUGAAAAACAAUAGUUCCAUUUGAGAAACAAAAGAAACACAGUUUUUAGCAUUUUGGAAGAAUGAAAAUGUUUGAAGUGGUUCCAAGGGCUCCUGGGCCCAGGGGAGUCUUACAUGAAGACACAUCUCUUAAUAUUGAGCCCUCCUGCAACUCUGGGACAUAGCUCUCCAGUCUGGGAUCAGUUUCUGCUCUGUCUGGCAACAGCCUACCAAGUCUCAUCCACCAGUUUUUCCUGAGGACAAGGAGCCUCUUAAAUCUGAACUAUGGUGAAGUGUUUUAGUUUGAGAUCCCGGGAAAUAGACUCUGAGACAAAGAACUGUGAGUAGGAGGUUUCAUGGAGAGUGCUCUCAGGAUCCACACCUGCGAAAUAACUAUAAUAAUAAUAAUAAUAAUAAUAAUAAUAAUAAUAAUAGUGAAGGCCUGGACUGGGUAGAGGAAGAAACUGAUCCAAAACAAACGUGCAAUGAGGCCUCAGCCAAUUCCUGGGGGGCAGAUCUGGCUGUGUACAGCAGUUCCUGAAUAAUGUUGGUUCAUUCGAUGUUCUUUCCUUAUAACGUUGAUGAGAAAACAAUUGAUUUGCACCUGGGGCCACCAUCUGUGUGUAUUUGCACAACCUCCCCAUAGCUGCAUGGGUUUUCUCUGAGUACUCUAGUUUGCUCUCUCAUUCCAAAGUCAUGCACAUUAGGUUAAUUGGCAUGUCUACAUGGACUCAGUGUGAGUGAAUGUGAGCAUGGGUGUGAGUGUGCUCUGCCAUGAGAGAUUGUCCUGUUCAGGGCUGGUUCCCACCUCACUCCGUGAGCUGCUGGGAUGGGCUCUGGCCACCCAUGACCAUGAACUGGAAAUAAGCAGGUAUGGACAAGGUUCUGACCCUUAUUAUUGGAACUCAAAUCCAGAUGGAGUUUGUUGGGACUUCACAUCAUUGGAAGGUGAAUAGAAAAGUAUGUCUUAAGAAUUUCACCAUGUUUUGGAAGAAUUGCAGCAAGAAAAAAAGAACUCCUUUGUUUCCACCCCAUUUCUUUUAAGGAAAACCUGGAAUAUCUGAGGGUGCAAGCUGAGAAAAGUCUGCUUAUCUGUUCCCUACUCUGGCAAUCAAAAAGGAUCCAAGUCUACUGUUCUCUUCUCCUGGCACUCUUAACUUGCACACAUUGCAACCUUUUAUGGCAAAGUAAUGGUCAAGCUAUCCUAACAAGGACGAGCCCUUAUUAAAUAAUUCACUGUGGUUGGGAAAUGGUGAGGAAGCCAUCUUCUUUUGUCUUCUUUUCUCUGAAAAUAAAAUUUUGUCUAAUUUUGUAUUAAGGACAUUUGGGCUUCACUUUAUUACAUUCUCUACUUUCUUUAAUAGCUCGAAGCUCAUGACAGUACAUGUCUGGUCUUGCAAAACAAGAUGAAUUUGUUAAAUUAAACUUUUAAAAAAAAUCAGUGUAACUGGCCAUCUUUCAUUAUAAAAUAUUUUUUCUCUCAAUUCAAGCCAAUUGUGUGGGGUAUGUGUGUUGUGUGUGUGUGUGUGUGUGUGUGUGUGUCUGCCUUUAUGUGCUGCCUGAAAGCCAUAUGUCCUUCCUCAGGAUAGAAUUUUUAAUUCUAGGUAAUAAAUCUCAAACUUUUGAGAACUAAACUGGAAAUGCCACCUCUGACUUAUCAAUUGUUUCUGGCCUGUGCUUCUACAAAACACACAGCACAUAUUUUCUAACCAUAAUUGAAACCAUUUUAAAAUAGUGUUUUUGGAGGAGUGAAUCUAUGUGAAACUUCUGUAAGCUAUUUGUAGGACAGCCGUGAAAAUCCUCCAUGUUCUAUGCAUUGGAUUUUUUUUCCUCCUUACUCACAAGGAUCAUCUUCAGGUUAAUAUCACAGAAAUUGGGACAACUUAGUGUUCGAGAAAUAGAGAAAUAGCUCAAGGAGCUAUUAGAUACCAACCCAUACCAUGUUGUUUUCUGAGGGUGGGAGAAACUAGAAGAAAGUUUGACAUUACUCUCAUUCCAUGAGACAACCUCAAGAACACAAACCCAAACUAUCCAGGUAGGACUUUUAGUUUAGGGAGACCACCAAAAGAACUGGAGCCCAUUUCCUCUGGUGAUUCAACAAGAUUAACAGCCCCUCCUGAAGUUUUUGUCCAGUGGCCUAGAAUCUAAAUAUGUGCUCAUACCCAGUUCUUUGUCUUCAAUUCCCGAGUCUUCUGUGUGACUCAUUCUGAAAGUCCAGGUGUGGAAGGGAGAGGCGCAUGGAGGAAAAAGCCAGGCUCAGAAUUUAUAUUUGUUUAAUGCCACAUGUUCCCAAACUAUUUCUGGGCUGUUUCAAAAACUGGUCUGCACAGAUAUUAAUCUCUGUAACCAUAUGUCUGAAACAUUUCAUCACUGGGAAACAGCUGAAAGUAGUUGGUGAGGCUCUGUGGGAUCCAUGUUAGGUAUUGUAAGUAUGGUCAGAAGAAGAGCCUGUAUCUGGAGCUUAUGGGAAAAUAAUGAGAAAUGCCUGUACCUCCUCUUUCUUAUUUUUGAGGUUGGCUGCAUGACUACAGUUGUUAGGCCCAGGUAAGUUUAUUCCCAAAGAGUAAGGGUUGGGAUGGAUGGUAUGUGUGG
rnacentral:lncRNA from 1 species